AUUGCACAAUGGCGGGCAAGCCUGAUGCAGCCAUGCCGCGUGUGUGAAAAGGCUUCGGGUUGUAAAGCACUUUCAGUCAGGAGGAAAGGUUAGUAGUUAAUACKUGAUAGCUGUGACGUUACUGACAGAAGAAGCACCGGCUAACUCCGUGCCAGCAGCCGCGGUAAUACGGAGGGUGCGAGCGUUAAUCGGAAUUACUGGGCGUAAAGCGUACGCAGGCGGUUUGUUAAGCGAGAUGUGAAAGCCCCGGGCUCAACCUGGGAACUGCAUUUCGAACUGGCAAACUAGAGUGUGAUAGAGGGUGGUAGAAUUUCAGGUGUAGCGGUGAAAUGCGUAGAGAUCUGAAGGAAUACCGAUGGCGAAGGCAGCCACCUGGGUCAACACUGACGCUCAUGUACGAAAGCGUGGGGAGCAAACGGGAUUAGAUACCCCGGUAGUCCACGCCGUAAACGAUGUCUACUAGAAGCUCGGAGCCUCGGUUCUGUUUUUCAAAGCUAACGCAUUAAGUAGACCGCCUGGGGAGUACGGCCGCAAG
rnacentral:rRNA from 1 species